rnacentral:lncRNA from 10 species
CACACAACGGGGUUUCGGGGCUGUGGACCCUGUGCCAGGAAAGGAAGGGCGCAGCUCCUGCAAUGCGGAGCAGCCAGGGCAGUGGGCACCAGGCUUUAGCCUCCCUUUCUCACCCUACAGAGGGCAGGCCCUUCAGCUCCAUUCUCCUCCAAGGCUGCAGAGGGGGCAGGAAUUGGGGGUGACAGGAGAGCUGUAAGGUCUCCAGUGGGUCAUUCUGGGCCCAGAGAUGGGUGCUGAAGCUCCCACGCCUGCCUGUGAAAAUGGAGUCCUCUCUCACCUGGGAGAGCCAGGUGCUGCCCCGAGAAGGAUGCAUUUAUGGCUUCAUGAAGUCUUUCCUGACCCCCGAUGCUGCUGACUAUAGAGACAAAGUCUCACUAUGUUGCUCAGGCUGGUCUUGAACUCCUGGCCUCAAGCGAUCCUCCCACCUUAGCCUCCCAAAGAGUUGGGAUUAUAGACAUGAGCCACUGCACCUGGCCGACCUUGGGCAAGUUCUUAAACCCUUCAAAGCCUCAUUUUUCUCCAAUCAUAAAAGGGAAAGAUGGUAAUAUUUUCCCCUCCAAAUUCUUGUAAGUAUUAAACAUUGUAUAUGUAUUUUGAACACGAUUAAGCUCUAAACACUUGUUAGGAAGCAGGAGUAGCAUUUGAAACAAACAGCUCUUUUCCCACAGGUCGGAUGCCCUCACAGAAUUGAGAUUAUGUACGUAAAACACCAGGUGCCUAACCCGGCACAGAGCAGGAGGGCUAAGCGUGACAUCCAGCACGUGCUGCCCCUGCAGUGAGAUGUGGCCAUCGGAGCCAGCAUUGGCCAAUGGACUCUGCAUGGGAGUGACGCAUGCUGCCUCCAGGCUUGUCCCUAAAACCUCCCACGUGUCCUCCGCCUGCUCUUCCCACUUCCAAGGAGCACGGCAAUUGUGGAAGACCCAGAUUAGUGAUGGCAGAACCAUAGAUGGGAGGAACCUGGGUCCCUGACUUAAAGUAUCAUGGAUUUGGAUGUUCCCUUAGUGAGAAAUAAACUUCCAUUGUGUUUAAGCCUUUAUUUGUUUAUAGUUGGUUACAGCAACUGCCUUCUUUUAAUUAAAACACUCCUGCUGCU